GACCCUAUAGAGUUUAAUAUUUUAUUGAUAAAUUAUUUUUUAGAAUUUAAUAUUAAUUUAUUAAUUGAAUAUUUGAUUGGGGUGAUUGAAAAAUUUAAAUAACUUUUUUUAUAUUUAAACAUUAAUUUAUGAUUAUUUGAUCCAUUAUUUAUGAUUAUAAGAUUAAAUUACCUUAGGGAUAACAGCGUAAUUUUUUUUAAGAGUUCAAAUCGAAAAAAAAGAUUGCGACCUCGAUGUUGGAUUAAAAUUUAUUUUUGGUGUAGAAGCUAAAUUUAUUGGGUCUGUUCGACCUUUAAAAUUUUACAUGAUCUGA
rnacentral:rRNA from 1 species